UACGUAGGUGGCAAGCGUUGUCCGGAUUUACUGGGCGUAAAGAGCGCGCAGGCGGUCGUUCAAGUCGCGUGUGAAAGCCCCCGGCUCAACUGGGGAGGGUCACGCGAUACUGAUCGACUGGAAGGCAGGAGAGGGAAGUGGAAUUCCGGGUGUAGUGGUGAAAUGCGUAGAUAUCCGGAGGAACACCAGUGGCGAAGGCGACUACCUGGCCUGUUCUUGACGCUGAGGCGCGAAAGCUAGGGGAGCAAACGGG
rnacentral:rRNA from 1 species